GAAUGAAAUUAGGUUGCUUGUACUGCAAAUACUGGAAACUGCUUUCUCCCCCACAGAUGUGUGUGUUCGCAAGUGCUUUUCACUGCAGUUUUUUCAAUUCUUCUGUGACAAAUUAGUAUCUUCUUGAGAUAGGGUGAAAAUAGCACAGUAUUCAAGUUAGGUUGACACCCCGAAUAUAUGUGGUUGUGAUAUUUUUGGUUUUAUUUUUAUGUUUCCCCUAACAGUUCCUGACAUUGUCUCUUUGAUGACUGUUCAGUACAUCAAGCUGAUAUUUUCUCAGUGAGCUGUGUUAUCUGUAAGGAUUAUCAGAUGUCUUUUCUGCAUACUUCAUUUUUCUAGAAUCCCAACACUUGUGCUUCUCAACCUUGAAUUUGAUUGCAUUGUUUCUUAUGAGGCAUUUUAUGAGAUCUGUGUGUAAGUCUGUUGCAGCAUUUUAUGAGCUUAAUUGUGCUAAAUCAAACUGAUUGUCUCCGGUUGUGCAGACUUCCUCUCCAUCCCCUUUUCCAGUUAAUCAAUGGGUAAACUGUGAGACACCCUGCAGUUUGCCUUUUCUACGUGGUGAAAAAUCCCAUUCAUCUCAAGGCUCAUUCUUCUUUUAACCUGAUCUAUGAAUGAACUAGUUUCUCUUAUCCUAUGAGUCAUGACAAGGGGAUCUAGAUACCUGAAUGACUUUUUCUGCUUUGAGCUGCAGAAUAUAUAAUUUUAAAUAGGUUUCAGUGACUUUUUGGAAUUCAAAGCUGUUGUUUUUCAAAGCAUGAUUUAAUUAAGCUUUUCAAAAUCCAGUUGAUAAUGAUAGGUUAAGCAAGUGCCGUUCCUGAAAUCAAGGAAAUUUUAAAGUACUUAAUUUUGGCUGGGUUUAGUUUUAAGGUUCUUGUCCUCUUUGUUUACAUAUCCAUUAGCUUCCCUUAGCUCCCAUCUAAAAAGGAGUUUGUAUAAUGUGGAAACAUUUUUAUUCCACAUAGCUCCUGAAUAUGUUUAGCAUGUGUUUGUUUAUUUUUCCUGAAGCCAACAGUUUAGUUUUAUUUUAUUUGGUAAGAGAGCUAGGAUUGUGACAGUUAUCUGAUUUUCUUUUAAUGACCAAAUUUUACGCUGUGAAGAGCAAAAUGAAUCACUACCAUUAACGCUGAGUUGUUACAAACAAGAUAGUAUUGAGAUAAUAAAAGGCCCUAAGAGAGCAACAGAAACCGAAUGACAGCUUCCCAAACUCAUUAGGCUGAUUAUGGUGCGUUUCCUCUCCAUACAUUAUUCCUAAGGCGCUAGCAUUUAAAAGUGUGUAAACAUUAUGAUGUCUCUUUUAAUCCACAGAAAUGCAUGUGCCUAAGUGGUGAAAGUACGUUUUGAGGUUUUACUGAACUUCUUUGCAGCAGAAUAGAAAACACAUUUCUAUAAAACACUUUAAAGUGAUGUUUUCAUACGUGGGCCUUGAAUCAUCAUUCAAAUGAAAUAAUGCUGGAAAUAGUUAUUCUUUCUGACUGUUUCAGCUCUGUUUCAAUUGCAGGCAUAGCUGACUCUUAUAAAUUAAACCGAGAAAAGAUUUGAGAAGGAAUUCAAGUCUCACUGUUUUGACACCAGAGUGGUGGAUGGGACAGCUAUAGCUUCUCUUCCUAUAUAUUUUUCUUGGACACCUUGCAAGACACAUGAAUUGCUGCACAUGCCCCAUCUACUUCCCCCCCCUUGCUCUUCUGACGCUCUUAUUCUCUCCUCCUC
rnacentral:lncRNA from 1 species